rnacentral:rRNA from 1 species
GGGUUGUCAUGCCAAUGGCACUGCCCGGUAGCUGAUAAGUGCAGAGAUAAGUGCUGAAAGCAUCUAAGCACGAAACUUGCCCCGAGAUGAGUUCUCCCUGAGACUAUAAGUCUCCUGAAGGAACGUUGAAGACGACGACGUUGAUAGGCCGGGUGUGUAAGCGCAGCGAUGCGUUGAGCUAACCGGUACUAAUGAACCGUGAGGCUUAACCAGAU